rnacentral:tRNA from 2 species
GGCCCCGUCGUCCAGCGGUCAGGACACAGCCCUUUCAAGGCUGAGACCGGAGUUCGAUUCUCCGCGGGGCUACCA